rnacentral:rRNA from 1 species
UUCGGGUUGUAAAGCGCUUUUAUCAGGAGCGAAAUGCCUCGGGCUAAUACCCUGCGGAGCUGACGGUACCUGAGGAAUAAGCACCGGCUAACUUCGUGCCAGCAGCCGCGGUAAUACGAAGGGUGCAAGCGUUAAUCGGAAUUACUGGGCGUAAAGCGUGCGUAGGCGGUUACUUAAGUCUGCUGUGAAAUCCCUGGGCUCAACCUGGGAAUGGCGGUGGAUACUGGGUAGCUAGAGUGUGAUAGAGGAUGGUGGAAUUCCCGGUGUAGCGGUGAAAUGCGUAAAGAUCGGGAGGAACACCAUUGGCGAAGGCGGCCAUCUGGAUCAACACUGACCCUAAGGCACAAAAGCGGGGGGAGCAAACAGGAUUAAAUACCCGGGUAUUCCACCCCCUAAACAAUGCGAACUGGACGUUGGUCUCAACUUGCACAUCAAUGUCGAAGCUAACGCGUUAAGUUCGCCGCCGGGGGAGUACGGUCGCAAGACUGAAA